rnacentral:rRNA from 1 species
GUCCACGCCGUAAACGAUGAUUACUCGAUGUGUGCGAUAUACCGUACGCGUCUAAGCGAAAGCAUUAAGUAAUCCACCUGGGGAGUACGUCGGCAACGAUGAAACUCAAAGGAAUUGACGGGGGCCCGCACAAGCGGAGGAACAUGUGGUUUAAUUCGAUGAUACGCGAGGAACCUUACCUGGGUUUGAACGUAAGUUGACUGUCCGUGAAAGCGGAUUUCCCUUCGGGGCAAUUUACGAGGUGCUGCAUGGUUGUCGU